UUUGUUUAAAAGUAAAAAAAAACAACAACAACAAAAAACAAAUUAUCACCCACAGAUCCUUACUAAUUUCAACAGAUCUUACUUGUUUCUCGAAAACACUUGGCCAAAUUGUCUUUAAUUGUAUUCAUUAAUAAGGUGAAUGUUAUAUCUGAUUAUCUGUCUCAUCUGCUACCUCUGUGUUUGAGUUGUUCAACAUUUAUACCUGGGAAGUUAUACACAAGUAGUAUUUGAUAAUGCUGUAGGAAAAACUGUCAUGUCUACCUUUGUAGAGGCUUUCCAGAACUGUGUUCCUCAGAAAACUCAGAGGUCUUUGUGGUGAAACUUGGACAUGGAGGCUUGUUUCUGAGAAGACAAGACCCAUCAUAGCCUUAUACCGGCUGCUGAGGUUCAAGAUAGCUUCAGGUUCUGGAAGGCUACUGCCAAGGUCUGAAGGCAGUAGCUGACUACUGGCUUCCCAGAUGCUCCUCUGCGUUCCUGCAUUGCAGUUGGCCUGCAGAGGAUAGUUAAGGGCACAGCUCCUUAAUUCUUCAUGCAACCAGUUGAGAUCCAAGUAGGAGAAUUCCACCAAGACUGUGUUCUCACCGUUCAUCUAUUCCCAACCCUGUAUUUCCAAAAAUUCCUUUUGUAUUCUUGAUUGAGAAAAACAUUGUUCAUCUUGAAGAAAGAAAUCAGUGCCUCUUUUCUCCUU
ensembl:lncRNA